rnacentral:rRNA from 1 species
GACGAACGCUGGCGGCGUGCUUCAUACAUGCAAGUCGAGCGGGGUCCAUCCAGUGGCAACACUGGUGAAGACCUAGCGGCGAACGGGUGAGUAACACGUGAGGAACCUGCCCCAGAGACCGGGAUAACCCUCCGAAAGGAGAGCUAAUACCGGAUGCCCCCACCGGACCGCAUGGUCUGGUGAGGAAAUGGAUUCCGCUCUGGGAGGGCCUCGCGGCCUAUCAGCUUGUUGGUGAGGUAACGGCUCACCAAGGCAGCGACGGGUAGCUGGUCUGAGAGGACGGUCAGCCACACUGGGACUGAGACACGGCCCAGACUCCUACGGGAGGCAGCAGUAGGGAAUCUUGCGCAAUGGGCGAAAGCCUGACGCAGCAACGCCGCGUGGGGGAUGAAGGCUUUCGGGUUGUAAACCCCUUUCAGCAGGGACGAUUGUGACGGUACCUGCAGAAGAAGGACCGGCCAACUACGUGCCAGCAGCCGCGGUAACA